rnacentral:rRNA from 1 species
GACGAACCGUGCGAACGUUAUUCGGAAUCACUGGGCUUAAAGGGCGCGUAGGCGGGCCGCCCAGUCAGGGGGUGAAAUCCUCCGGCCCAACCGGAGAAGUGCCUUUGAUACUGGCGGCCUCGAGGGAGGUAGGGGCCUGCGGAACUUCCGGUGGAGCGGUGAAAUGCGUAGAUAUCGGGAGGAACACCAGUGGCGAAGGCGACUACCUGGCUGUUCUUGACGCUGAGGCGCGAAAAGCUAGGGGGAGCGAACGAGGA